CUGCUGCCUCCCGUAGGAGUCUGGUCCGUGUCUCAGUACCAGUGUGGGGGACCUUCCUCUCAGAACCCCUACGCAUCGUCGCCUCGGUGGGCCGUUACCCCGCCGACUAGCUAAUGCGCCGCAUGCCCAUCCCCCGCCGGAAUCGCUUCCUUUAGCCGCCGGGCCAUGCAGCCCCGCGGCGUUACGCGGUAUUAGUCGGGAUUUCUCCCGGUUAUCCCCCUGCGGGGGGCAGGUCGCAUACGUGUUACUCACCCGUGCGCCGGUCGCCGGCAGG
rnacentral:rRNA from 1 species